rnacentral:rRNA from 1 species
CCUACGGGAGGCAGCAGUGGGGAAUCUUGCGCAAUGGGCGAAAGCCUGACGCAGCAACGCCGCGUGCGGGAAGAAGGCCUUCGGGUUGUAAACCGCUUUCAGCAGGAAAGAAAAUGACGGUACCUGCAGAAGAAGGUGCGGCCAACUACGUGCCAGCAGCCGCGGUGACACGUAGGCACCAAGCGUUGUCCGGAUUUAUUGGGCGUAAAGAGCUCGUAGGCGGUUCAGUAAGUCGGGUGUGAAAACUUUGGGCCUAACCCAAAGCCUGCACUCGAAACUGCUGUGACUAGAGUUCGGUAGGGGAGCGGGGAAUUCCUGGUGUAGCGGUGAAAUGCGCAGAUAUCAGGAGGAACACCGAUGGCGAAGGCGCCGCUCUGGGCCGACACUGACGCUGAGGAGCGAAAGCGUGGGUAGCAAACAGGAUUAGAUACCCUGGUAGUCCACGCCGUAAACGUUGGGCACUAGGUGUGGGUCUCAGCUAACGAGAUCCGCGCCGUCGCUAACGCAUUAAGUGCCCCGCCUGGGGAGUACGGUCGCAAGACUAAAACUCAAAGGAAUUGACGG